GAAAGGCAUCCACUUGAGUACCUGUUCUCUCAACUCCAUCACAGGGCAUGCACGAGCACAGCCCAAACAGCCACUUGUCCGGGAUGGGCAGAUGGACAGGGACACUGGAGAUCACCUGAACCACAUGGGACUUGAACCAGAUAAACCCCCAGGGCUGCUGCCAAUGCUAAGAUGCUAUGCUUUCCACAGCAUCACCUGAAGUGGCACACCAAUAUCCCAGGAACGUAAAAGACUCGCCUGGAAGCCAAUUCCUUUUCUCCCAAAUCAAGGAGAUGCCAGAGCGGCUAAGAGGAGGAGCUUGGAAGCAGAGGGAAACCUCUUAUGCAUGGCACCUGGUAACCUGUAACAACUAGCUCGUUUUAUUGAUAAAUUAGCCUCCCCUGGCCUCAGCUGUAGCUCCCAAGUCAAAUCGCCGCCACCUGCCGCGUUAACGGGCUUUGAGCAGCUACCAGGGACUUAAAACUCGCUUCCUCAGCCCAUCCCAGCCCUCAGAAGAUGGGAGCGCUUCAGGGAAGUUAAUUUUCUCAAAACAACUCUUCUCUUGGACUAUCCCUGAGAAAUCCAGGGCUAACGUUGAACUCGGGGUAUGCGGUGGAGACCAGAGACCCAGGGGCAGAGAAGAGGCUGGCCAGGGGCACUUCCUUGCUCACAGCUCGUGGUCAAAGGACAGCACAGCCCUCCAGCGGGUGGCAGUGCUAAAAAGGGCACAGGAUGGAAACCUGGGAAGGGCCACAUCUGCCGUCCACUUCACCCCAACUUUUCCUCGGUCUAGACCCACGCUGUCCCAUGCUGCAGCCACGAGCCACCUGUGACCCCAGGAACACGGCUAGUCUGAAUCCCUGUGUCCUGGCUGAGAUACACUCCCGACCUCGAAGACUUAACACCAGAGAAAUCAAUUCCACGUGGUGGCAAUCAUGCCCAUUUAACGAUGAAGAAGUCCAGGCUCAGAGUGAUGGAGGAACGUUCUCAGCGUCCCGUGGAGGCAGGCUCUGAAGACAAGAAGUCGAUCUCUGAACUUCCAUCUCUUUAGUGUUGUAAGAAGACCACAGACGGAGCAAGGCUGUAAGCUCCUGGAGUAUGAGAGAUGUGCCCUGGACCAUACUUGGCCUCCCAGCCCUAGUCUCCAGUGAGGGUCUUGAAGGUGCUGUGAUGAUGACAGCAAUACAGGGGGAUCCAGGGAAGAACGUUGGCAGCAACUCAUACAUCUUGAACACUCAGCCCAGAGCUGCUAUCAGUUCCUCACCUGCGUCACCUGGAUUCAUCCUCACCACCAGCCCACGAGGGAAGAGCUCUAUCAUCUGCAUCUCACAGAGAAGGGAAGCGAGACCCAGCAAGGCACUAUCGUAAGAGCCUUUACACUCUUCAUCUCACUUAAUGCCCCCAGCGAGGUUGUAACGUGGCCUGGAUUAGAUGAUGGCAGUGACACAGACAGAGGGUACGUGGCCCGCACAGGUCGCACAGCUAGAAUG